CAGUAGCCACGGUAAAACGGAGGGUGCAAGCGUUAUCCGGGUUCACUGGGUGUAAAGGGUGCGUAGGCGGAUCUGUAAGUCAGUGGUGAAAUCUCCAGGCUUAACCUGGAAACUGCCGUGGAUACUAUAGGUCUUGAAUUUUGUGGAGGUUAGCGGAAUAUGUCAUGUAGCGGUGAAAUGCAUAGAUGUGACAUAGAACACCAAUUGCGAAGGCAGCUGGCUACACAACUAUUGACGCUGAGGCACGAAAGCGUGGGGAUCAAACAGGAUUAGAUACCCGGGUAGUCCCUGUCUCUUAUAC
rnacentral:rRNA from 1 species